rnacentral:rRNA from 1 species
AUUGAACGCUGGCGGCAGGCUUAAUACAUGCAAGUCGAACGAGUGGCGGACGGGUGAGUAAUGCUUGGGAAUCUAGCUUAUGGAGGGGGCUAACUACGGGAAACUGUAGCUAAUACCGCGUACCAUAGGAUGAGCCCAAGUGGGAUUGGGUAGUUGGUGAGGUAAAGGCUCACCAAGCCGACGAUCUCUAGCUGGUCUGAGAGGAUGACCAGCCAAAGUGGGACUGAGAAACGGCCCAGACUCCUACGGGAGGAAGCAUUGGGGAAUAUUGCGCAAUGGGGGAAACCUGACGCAGCAAUGCCGCGUGAAUGAAGAAGGCCUUCGGGUGGUAAAGUUCGUUCGGUAGCGAGGCGUUAACUACAGAAGAAGCACCGGCUAACUACGUGCCAGCAGCCGCGGUAAUUC